CGCAUUCCCAAUACACAAGAAGCAGAACCGCCCAAACACCACGGCGAGUCAGGACUGGUCUCUCUGCAUUGUACAUGACCGGUCAUACCCUCGGUGUUACCCUCAUCCUGCCCUUCUGCUCUGCCUUUACACGGCAUUCGCCUUCUUGUGAUACGCAUUGCACACCGGCUGCUUUUUGUUCUUCGUCGCUGCAGCCCCGCCAUCUGGCUGCGCUCGCCUCCACAGCAUUUCUUAUCAGCGCCUUUGUUGACUCACGGCUUCCUCUUGUCUGGGGCCUCUUCAGCCUCUUCUCCGAUUCCAUCUACUCGUGGUUUUGUUCUCGUCGCUGUCGUCCUGCAGAGGCUCACCGCACAACACCACCUGUGUGGUGCUCUUCCGCCGGAACGUGUUCACGGCCGGCUCGUCCAUUUCGACUCACCAUGCAGCACUCCAUGGCCCCCACUGUCUCGCCAGUCCAGGCGGCUGCGGCCAUUGCGACUGUGGGCUUUCUCGCCUAUGCCACCACGCGGAUGCUGCAGGCAUUGUACUCUGCACCGCCGAAUAUGCCGGAGCCGGCGAUUCCGCCCAACUCCGAGGACGGCCUGGUCUGGAGCGUGGUCAAGCGUGUCCUUUACCGCCACUUCUACGUCGUCCGCAAGGGCGACCCGUUGAAGACUCUGCAGCGGUGGUGCGCGGAGUUCGAUUACAAGCCGUUCGUCAUGAAGAUCUUCUUUCGCCCACACGUAGUGCUCUCCAGCCCGGUCGACAUCGAGCACGUGUUGUUGCGCGCUGACACGAAGUUCUACAAGGACACCGGCUACGACAUCGUGCGCAUCGUCGUCGGCCGCGUUGGCCUCCUUGCCGUCGGCAACAAGGCGCAACACGCCAUACACCGCCGCAUUCUCAUGCCCAUUUUCAGGUCGCAGAACAUUCGCGGUGUUGCGAAUGAGAUCAUUCGCAUGCAUGCCCUGCGCAUGAUGGGCGGGCUCUUCGAUCUCAUCCAGUGCGGCGGUGAGCAGGACGCCGUGGUGAACCUGAGUGACCACGUCUUCCGCAUGGCACUCUCCGCCAUAGGCGAGGCGGCUUUCCGCGCCUCCCGCGGCGAGUCGCUGCGCGUGCGCGGCCACUUCGAUGUGAUGAUGAAGAUGUCCCGCGUGAACUACUUCUGCCCGUAUCUCAAGUCAUCCGCCCAGCGGAACGCACGCAACACCCUGAAGGAGAUGUGCGUGGAGCUGCUGGAUAAGAACAUGCAGAUAAAUCAGAUUGGCACGCGGCGGUGCGUGAUGGAUGCGCUGAUCGAUGAGCUGUACGUGCAUUUCAGCAUGGACGACGUGUUGGAUCACGUCGUCACGUUUUUGUUUGCUGGCCACGACACGGUGAGUCACACGCUGGAGUUCCUGUUUGCGCUCCUGGGCACGAACACGGAGGUGCAGGAGCGUCUCUACGAGGCCCUUGAGGACUUGAUGCCCUCCAUUUGCACCUGCCCCACCGUGCAGGAGCUUAUGGAGUGCGACUACCUUGUCGCCAUCGUAAAGGAGGUUCUGCGGAUGUACCCGGCGGCGCCUAUCAUCUACCGCGAUGCGGCCGAGGAUGUGCACCUGCCCGGAUCUGCGGUUGUGAUUCCAAAAGGCAUGACGGUUGUCAUCACGCUCUCCGCUCUGCAGCGCAACACACACGUGUACGGCGACGACGUUGACGUGUUCCGCCCCGAACGGUGGCUUGGCGAAGAAGGCGAGGCGCUGCGCAAACGCUGCGGCCGUUGCGGCUACAUCCCCUUCAGCUGCGGCAAGCGCAGCUGCAUUGGCCAGGAGCUCGGCUACCUGGAGUUGCUCGUCGUGACGGCGCUGCUGGGUCGCCACUUGAAGAUGGAGCUGGUCGGCGAGUUUCCAGAGGCGCGGUACAACAUUACCAUAGCCGUGAGCCACUCAGUCUCCAUGCGCAUCACCGCCCGCGAUGGCAUUCCCGUUGGCGAGGUUUACGAGCGCAUUGCCAACGUACUUGACCUCAACGACGAGGACGCCGAGUCUGCCCGCAACGUGACGCGGGAAGCGGAAGGGGAGACGAGCUGCAAAGAAGCCGCCGUACGCGGGUAAGCAACACGAUGCAGCGUAGCGAAAACGUCGCGGUGUUUGCGUGUGUGUGUGUGUGUCACUCCACCCCUUCUCCCUUUCAUGAGUCGAACUGCUUCUCUGCCUCUCUUUCAAGGGUGCUCGUCUUCUGCAGUUCUUUGUUUUAGGCCUGCGCACGAUUCUCUCGCCUGAGAGUAGCCACGCCAGUUACAGACACUGCGCAAUGAUGAAGCACGUUGGGCCGGAAAGCAGGCAAAGAAAAAGUGGGUACAAGCACGACGCGAGCGCUGCACGCGGAUGCGACUGCCCUUGCCCAUCGGGCGUUCAUGUGCCCCCUCAAUGCCCGUGUACGAGAUUGCCGUCGUGUCUGUGGAUGCUAUAGGUGUUGGGACGCUUGGUGAUGAUUGCAGCCUUCAAACGCGCAACCUUCUCGCUGUCCGACUAUUUUUCUGUAAGAGGCGCGUGGAAAAAGGAAGGCGCCUUCGACCUCGGCGAGGGGAGUGCAGCGGCGUUAUUCUUUCCGUUGUUGUCGAUGCCGUACCCUAGUCCACACGCAUGCCCAUACAUUUCUGCUCUAGUGGUGCGCGAAGUGUGUAUGGAUUGCAAAGGACGAAGGGGGACUGUUGUGGCUCACCUCAUCGUUGCUCCCUCGGUGGAGAAGGCCUGUUGGCCAUCAAACUGACAUGACGCAGGUCCAGCACAUGUGCAGAAAAUUAAAAAAAACGAGAGCGAUGAGGAAAGUGUGUAUGUACGCUUGAUAUCGCUUGCCUUCCUUUUCUUUUGCUCUCCAGUUGCUGUUUUUUCGUUGUUGUUUUCGAAGGUUGGUGGCAGGAGCGAACGAGGGAGGGACGACGGAAACACGAUGUGAUGAGGAGGAGCGAGUCAAAGUGCUCGCCACUAUUCCGAUGGCAUGCUCCACCAGCCACUUGUCUUUUCCUCGUUUGUCGCUCUCGUAAUCAUUUUUGGAUUUCGGAGAGUCGAGUCAUACGCGUGUUGCACCCCUCUCUUCUCCCCAGCCCCCAUUUGGCUGCUUGCCACGGCAGAAAUCCCUGGGUGUCGGAAAACGGGUGUGCUCAAGUCUGCCUAUCCGUGAGUAGCGCUACCCGCUGGCGGUGUGAGUGCAGCAGAGUUCUCGCGGAGAGCUCUGCCAGCGCUGGAGGUAUCGAGAGCUCGAGUGGGGAAAGACCAGUCUGGUGCGCUCUUCCGCGGCAGUAGGCCAUUCGCCACCUACUACGAAGAGUCGGGAGCGUGCAUGGAAACUCAUCGUGCGUAUCUCUUGGCAUCAUAACCCCUCUCUUUUUUUUUAUUCGUUUAUCUUUUUUGCCAUGCUUCUUUUGCCUGUUGAUGUUCAUGAUAUGUAUUUUCGGUUUCGUUCUUGCCCCACCCCGCAGCUCUGGUCUUUUGGGGCGUCUUUUCUGUUUUCAAAUCCCCUGGUAUGCCCAUGUCUCUCUUAUAGCUCUGUUUCGUUGUGUAGUCCCGCGGGUGCGUAGGCAUCACUCUCGUUGGUGACUUGCGAAUGUGCGAGUGCGCGCAUUUAUGUGCGAUGUUUGGUGGUCCGUUUGCGUCGUUCAUGCGCAUGUGUGUUUUCGUUUUUCUUGCGCUCCUCGCUAUCCGAACCGCUCCUCAUGCCUUCCUUCAGCUCCAUGUGCCACAUGUACCCCCUGACCAACCAUUUCCCUCGCCUCCUCGCCUCUCUCCUUGUCGUGGAACUUUUUUUUUGUUUUGUGUUGUGUGUUGUCUUUCCCGGGUGAUUGUGCAAAGAUCUCUUUUUCUGGUUCAUCUCGUAAUUUUUCGCUAUUGCGCUCGCCUCAGUCGGCUGGCUUUAGUUGCUGUUUCGUGCACGCUUUGGUUUUGUGGGAGUUUCUUGGCGCCGAGUCAAGCUACAUCACCGCUCUUCCACGAUUUCUGUAUCCACUUUUUCGUUUCGCCUGAGUCGUCUUCUGCGCAUCAUGGCGCUACUUGUACGUGCCAGUCGAAGUGCAUAUAUAUAUAUAUAUAUUUCCCCCCCCUCAUUGUGCGUGCUUGUAUGUAUGUGUGUGUGUGCGUGCAUUCGCUCGUUAUCUCGCUCUCGUUUCCUGACUUCGUUCGUUUUUUCUCCCUUCACGCCAUUCCCCCCCCUUCUCCCUCUGCUGCCGUCAGCAUUGACGUGCACAUCGCCCUUUUUUUUCUCUCGUUAAACCCCGCCCUCUUCCCUCCCUCUCGUUUUUUAUGUGUGUGAAGUCGUUCGUGUCGCUUCUUCUCAUAACGUUUUGCCGCUCUUGUCUAUAUCGGUGUUUUUUGUGUGUGUGCUGGCGCGUCUGCCUCCGUUUUUUGUCGUUGUUUGGAUGCAUAUGACUAGAUAUCCUUGUUAUACCAUUUAUGCGCGCCAUCGUGUCAUUCUUUUCAUGCCUCUCUGUCUCCGUCUCUCUGUCUCCCUGCCUACCUGCCCUGCCUGUCUACCUGCCGUUGGUUUGGGAUGCUUUGUUGCGGUGCCCCAAACCGGGUAUUUGGGAAGUGAAGCGCGGAGGCACUUCAACCAGCGCUCCUCUCUCAUAAGCAUAACGUGAGAGAGAGAGAUUGCGAGCAGCAUCGCGUAGUGAUAAAGCGAAGAUUGUGCCCAUUUUGCGUGCGUGCACUUGUUUGCUGUGGCUCGCCCCUGUUGAGGAGAGGGGGGCCAAGGCAUGUUUGGUGCUUACGUCUACUCUCCUACGCAUCUUUAGAGCGGGGGGCGGGGACAGGGCACCGCAAGAUCGAUGUUUGUCUGUGAAUCCGCGUUAGCUUCUUUCAGCUCCGACUAAUGGUCACCUUUGCCUUCGUCUUUCUCUGUCCCUUCCUGCCAUCGUCUUCGCUGCGGGUAUGCGACCCGAUUCACAAG
rnacentral:misc_RNA from 1 species